GAUGAACGCUAGCUACAGGCUUAACACAUGCAAGUCGAGGGGCAGCACAGUGUAGCAAUACACGGGUGGCGACCGGCGCACGGGUGCGUAACACGUAUCCAAUCUGCCCGUUACUCGGGGAUAGCCUUCUGCAAGGAAGAUUAAUACCCGAUGGCAUGCAUUUCCGGCAUCGGAGAUGCAUUAAAGAUUUAUCGGUAACGGAUGGGGAUGCGUACGAUUAGCUAGUUGGCGGGGUAACGGCCCACCAAGGCGACGAUCGUUAGGGGUUCUGAGGGGAAGGUCCCCCACACUGGAACUGAGGCAUGGUCCAGACUCCUACGGGAGGCAGCAGUGAGGAAUAUUGGUCAAUGGUCGAGAGACUGAACCAGCCAAGUAGCGUAAAGGAUGACUGCCCUACGGGUUGUAAACUUCUUUUGUUUGGGAAUAAAGUGAGGCACGUGUGCCUUUUUGUAUGUACCUUACGAAUAAGCAUCGGCUAAUUCCGUGCCAGCCGCCGCAGUAACAC
rnacentral:rRNA from 1 species